CCUGGAAAGGAUUGUUGUUGAGGAUUGUAAGAAAAUGGAGGAGAUAAUAGGAACAACAGAUGAAGAAAGCAGCACCUCCAAUUCCAUCACGGAAGUCAUUCUCCCAAAGUUAAGAACUCUGAGAUUGUUUGAAUUACCAGAACUGAAAAGCAUUUGCAGUGCAAAACUGAUUUGCAAUUCUCUUGAAGAUAUUGAUGUAGAGGAUUGUCAGAAGCUGAAGAGGAUGCCAAUUUGUCUUCCGUUGCUUGAAAAUGACCAGCCAUCUCCUCCCCCUUCUCUUAAAGAAAUCACGGUAUAUCCAGAAGAAUGGUGGGAGACAGUAGUGGAGUGGGAGCAUCCUAAUGCAAAGGAUGUCCUUCGUCGCUGUGUAAGGUUUUGGUAGGAGGAGACUCCUCUGCUGCCCUUAAUAUAAUAUAAUAUAAUAUAGAACAGAGGGUAAGCAUCAUCUCUCUCAAUCGAAUUGUACCUUUCGUAUUGUUAAUCCUUUCGUUGUUAGAAUACUUCUUUGUUGCAUCAUUUAUCAAUUCUAUCCUAAUGCAAAGGAUGUCCAAAGGACCUUUUUCUCUCGAAAUAAUUAAUAUGUAGAAUGGUUAAUUACUAACCAUUACUCCGUUAAAUGUAAUAAUACGUAUCCUUCUUUUAUUAUAGGCUGGUUUAGAAUUCAGCUAAGACAUCUAAUAAAAUAUUUUUAUUCUUAGAAAUUUUGUGAAGAACAAUCAGAAAACUAAUUUAAUUAGGGAUUAAUUGAGUAAUUAAUUACCUUAACCUUACAGAGGAUUUUCUUUUAAAAUCCCAAUAGCCUGAUUCUUGGAUCACAGAAGCUUGAGACAUGGCAUUCUAACAACUUCACUUCAACUUUAUUUUAUAUUUAUAAUAAAUAAAAAGCAUGACUGUGUUGAGAAUCUAUUUUCUGUUUUUAUUUUUCAAAUUUGAGAUGACUCCUCAAAAAACAAUUCCAACCAAUUAUUUGCCCUGGAAUUUGGAUGAUGUGUAAUUACAAGUGGGCAAUAGGUGGAGCAGGAAUUGAGGUAGCUUGUUUCUGGCUUUUGCUUCUCUGGGUAUGAUUUAUUGGGCUAGUUUAUAGGAUUUUUGUCCUUUCUGUUAAUUUUAUAUUAAUUUUUUUAAUUUUUAAUUUAAUUAUUUUUUUGUGUUUUCAAAUUGUUUUGAUGUGUUGAUAUUAAAAAUAAUUUUUUAAAAAUAAUAAUAAAAUAUUAUUUUGAUACAUUGCCAAAUAAAAGAUAUUUUGAAAAAUAAUUGAUAUUGUACUCUCAAACAUCCUUAAAUGCUCUAUUAUUGAAAUAAAAUGCUAAAAUGUGAAUAGAAAUAAUAGAAAUUAAUGUGUAUUUUUGAAUUAAAUUUCUAUUUACUUUGAUAUACUCUUGAACAGGUCUUUAUGUUUGAUUUCAGAGUUUAUAGAAGAGCAAGUCAAGGCCCAAUCAAAUUCAAAGGAGUCGUGAAAUUCACUUGAAACCAGCCUGGAUACACUUAAGUAUUUUAAUCACAACUUUUCACUCACAUAUCAGAUUGCUGUGAUUCUUGACGUGUUGGAAAGGUGUCUUAAAGGGCUACAAAUUAGCCUCUAAUGAGGAUUUCGAAAGAAGAACUCCUAAAGCAUGUACACGGGGAUCAUGGAGACGUGAUGAAAAAGGAGGGCUGCUUCCUUUAGAAAAAGGGAUAUUUGUUGGCAAUUGCGCCAGAGAAAAAAAAAAGAAAAAAAAAGAAAAAGGAGAGCAGGCAAGGAAAGGAAUGGCUAAUACAGUGAUGUGUAGCGAAAUUGUUCAGAUUUCCAAUUAUUCCAACUCUUUUGUUUUAUCAUUCUCGAAGUCCAAACAACAACGGUACUGCCAAGAUUGCUAUGCCCGCAAUUAAAAUAUAAUUUAUUUUUAUUUUUGGAAUUAUGUUUGAGUGCAUUUAAAAAUCUGUUUAUUUUAAAAAAAUAUUAAAUUUGAGUGCAUUUAAAAAUUUGUUUAUUUUAAAAAAAUAUUAAAUUAAUAUUUUUUAAUAUAUUAAUAUUAAAAAUAAAAAAAAUAUUUUGAUUACUAAUAACGAAUAGUUAAGAGACGUACUGGUUGACUCACAUAUUAACUGAUUAACCUGAGUAAAAAACAAAACCACAUCAUAUUAUUUAUUUAUAAAAACUAAAACGAUGGUAUUUAUUUUAAAAAAAACUAAAAUAACAAUGUUUUUUAAAAUAUUUUUAUUUUAAAAAAGUUUCACAUAGUUGUAGAUAAAAAAAAAUAUUUUAAUUUAGCAACGAUAAAGAAUCCAUAAGAAAGAUAUUAUACAGUUAUUAAUUUUCAUUAAAAGAAAAGCUAAGAGACUUGGGAGAACACCUAUUUAUUCACACCUAUUUCAUUGUAAAUUAUAAUAAGUAAUCUAAUGUGUUUUGUUUUUUUUUUUUGUUUUUUUUAUUAGUGGGCUGAUUUAAAAUUCAACUUUGUAAUUUAUUUAUUUUUAUUAUGUUUUUUAUAAGAUUAAUAUAAUUUACAGGUUUGUUAUAAUAACUCAAAUUAUAUUAAUUUACUGAUUUAAUAUUUUAAAAAAAUUAAUCCAGCACGGAAAAACACUAGCCACCAAAACUAGCACUAGGUUUUGUUCAUUAAAAGUAAGGAUGGAGUCUUUGACUAGCACUAGGUUUUGUAAAGCAAGGAUGGAGUCUGUGACUGCGUGUGCCUCUAAUCAGCAACAGAUUGGUAACGGCAACGAUUGAAAACCUUUAAUUUGUCUUCUAAUUUUUUCCCUAUUAGUAAUUGUUACGUAAUCAGAUUCGCUUCAUGUUCAAUAAUUGUUUUUUUAUUUUUUAAAAUUUAUUUAUUUUAUUUUUAAUAUUAAUAUAUUAAAAUUAUAAAAAAACAUUAAAAAAAUCUAUUUAUCUUUUUUAAAAAACAACUAAAAACAAAAGCAAUCACCUGCUCUUAAUUAAUCACAUCUUUAAUAUUUAAAACAUUGUUAAAGCACACGUUUUUCAAAAACUUUGAAUUUUUUUCUUUUUAAAUUAUUAUUUUUUUAUGAAUGAUGAAAAUAGUCCUUUAAAUCAACAAGGAUAUUUUUAUUAAUUGAUAUUAAAAUUACUUGCAUGAUGCUUUUGGAUUAAAGAUGCUCAAUGGUUGGAUUUGGGUCGGUUUGAAAUUGUAUUGCCAAUUCCAUAUUUCAAAGAAAAAUCGAAGCCUAACAUGAAUUCAUAGAAAGAGCGUUUAUUAAUAUGAAAUAUUUCUUUUUUAUAUUGUGUUCUUACAAUUACAUAAAUAACAUUUUUCAUUUUUUUAUUUAUUUCAUUAUCUUUUUAAGACUAUUCAUAUAUAUAUUUUUUAACUCGAUAGAUAAGUAAUUAUAAUUUGAAGUUUAAUUAAUAUUAUAUUUUCAUCCUAUUGAGUUUCUCCAAGAUAAAAAUCCAAAAAAUAAUAAAAAACAAUAUAUUGAUUUAUCAUUAAAGUAACCUAAUAAAGUAAUAUGUCUAUUCAUCAGUACAAAUCAUCUUAUAUCAUUAACUAGCAAUAAAUUAUUCUUUUAAAAUAUAUAAGAAAAACAAAUUAAAGAGAGAAGACAAUUUAAAAAAAGAAUGACAAUCGAAUUACAUGACUUGGAAUUUUGAAAUUUUUAUAAGGAUAUAUUUAGAAUAAAAUUUCAUACCUCUAUCUAUUUUCCUACUACAAAAAUUCAUUCUAUUUUUCUACAUUCGUCAAGAUUUUUUAAUCUGUAUUUUUAAGUUUUUUCUGUAUUUAUAGAAACAAAAAAAAAACUAAAAGGAUUGGUUAAUCAACUCCUCAAGAUUUUUUAAUUUGUAUUUUUUAAGUUUUUUUUUUGUCUUUAUGAACAACAUAAAGUUGUUUUUUCUGUCCAUUUACAAAAAUAUAUAUCAAAAUGAAGUUUUCUACUUAGUGCCUGGUGGUUUUGUCUGAAUAAAAGGGAUAGAUGCUAAGUUCUGAGUUCAAGGAAGAGAGACAAAAAGUGGAAGGGACAACUGUGUCGAUUGUUCUCUUGAUCUGAGCUUAUUCUGUAUCAUUUUGUUGGCUGCAUUAAUUAUACCUUCACCUCCAUACGCAACUCCUCUUCAUCUCUUAAUGUUAAUAAAAAUGUAAGAAUUUAGGAACAUUUUCACAAUGAAGAUUAACUCAUCUCCAUAGCAUAAUACAGGAAAUAGAAGAUCCAUUCAUUUCAUCGCAUCUCUUCGAACAUUCUUGAAUUCUGGUCAAUCCAAAUCACAACAAAUAUCGUAAACAUGUUAAAAGUAUUCUUCUACCUCAAUGAAUUUCAGUAAAACUACUACACAGAAGAUGAGUUUUGGUUUCUAAACCUGAAACUGCCAUCAUAAGAACUAGCUAGGGAAGUUAGGAUGAGCUUUUCUUGUCAUUAUAUCACUUUUUUCUGCUAAGAUAAUGCUCUCUAUAUUCUCUGCUACUAUUGCUUAUAAUUUUCUUGCCUCUGGUAUCUUUUCCAACCCAUUUGAGGGAUGCUUGUCGAAUAGAGUUGACCUAGGAAUCCAGAAGUUAUUGGUGACAGAGGAUUUGGAUCCUUUUUCGAGAAAAAGUGAGUUGAACUGUUACAUUUUGUUUACAUUAUCUUGUUGCACUAAAUCAAGAAGUUUACUAGACUUUUUAUUCUGUAAAUUUGCUUUCUGAAUGCUGAGCAUUUUAAACGACCAUGUGAUCGGAGAGAUUUGAUUCUCAUAUAAUUGUUGGCAGCUUAUUUGUGAGCCAAGAAGUAUUAUUGAAUAAAAAUACUUUUAUUCUUUAUUUUCGGCUGGAAAGUGAAUUGAACAUUUAUUAGCUGAGUUUUCUUCUCCAUUUUAUUGAAUAAAAAUGAUUUUUUUUCUGAUUUUAUUAAGUUUUUUUAUAAGCCUGAUAAUUUGUCAGGUAAUUUUAGUAGAGUCAUUACCUAUGUAUGCUGGUCAAAAGUCAUUCCCAUCAAUAAGAUGGAGUAGCAUGAACAAUUUAUUUAUUUAUUUGUGGUUUCUGCUAACGAUUUGUUUGAUGAUUAAUAUCGAUUUAUUUCCACUUUCAUAGUAGCCUAGGUGUGUUUUUUCCGGAAUGGUUAUGAGCAUUUUUCCAAUCUGCUGGGGGUGAUGUUGGUGAUUUUUAAUCUUGGGCUUUUGGCGAGGCUUCACGCUGCUACCUUUUUCGUUCAUGAAUUUGAGAUUAAAAAAAUCACCAAAAAGCUUGGAAAAAGAUAAAAAGUUAUUGGUUGAUAAUUUUUCAACAACAAAAAAACACGAUCUUUGUAUUAAUGGAAAAAUCAUGUGCAGAUUGGAUAGCAAAUCAUAAGCAUAUGUUUGGAAUUAUAAUAGCGGUUAUAAGAUAUUAAUUUGAUAAAAUUUGAUCGAUCCAAUCAAACUUAGUUUAUAUCUGAUUAGAUUAAUUAAAAAAAUAAAAUGAUAUUAUUUUAAUAAAAAUAAUUAAUUUGAAUUAACUUAAUAAAUGACAUAUAAUAUUAAAAAAUUAUCUUAAACCAAAAAAUUUAAACAGAUUUAAAAAUAUUAUAAUGUUACUUUCUCAUAAUUUAGUAAGGAUUUGGAAGAUAUAUAUUCAAAAACAAAUUUUAUCAUGAAAUUAAGUUAUUUAAAAAAUCUGAGUCAAUUAGAACAUUGUUUGGUAAGGUGAUGGACCAUAACAAAAACAUUAUUUUUUAUGUUUUUAUUGGCAAAAUAAAGGUAUAACCAUAUUACAUCAUGUUGCCAAACAAACACAAAUCUUGAAUUUUAUUUUUAUUUGUUUUUUUUUUUAAAUUGAAAAGGCAAAUAUACUAUCAUGGACUAAGAUAAUAUUUGAUAUUGUAGUAAUGAUUUUUUUCAAAGUAUUUUUUGUUUGGAAAUUUAUUGAAAUAAUAUUUAUAUUUUAUAUUAGUAUAUCAAAAUAAUGCAAAAAUAUUAAAAAAAACAUUAAUUUGAAGCCAAACAAAUAAUAAGAAUAUUUUCACCUCGGAUUGUAUCUCUUCAUCUUUAAAAUUGUAUCUAAAAAAAUAACUAAUAAAGUGUAAUUAAUUAAUCUAAUGCUGGAAUUAUUAUUUACCCUGGAAUUUGGAUGACGUAUAAUUCCAAGUGGGCAUGCUGCAUUUCUUAGCCAAUGAAACUAUAAUUUCUUCAUAAUUUUUCAAGUUCCAACAAUAAAUGUAAUUUUCGAACUAUUAAAUAUAUUAAAAUCUUAAAUGAUAACUUGAAAAAUAAAAUCAUUCAUCAAUCAAUUUAAGAUUUCUACACUGUAAUUUGUUAAUAUUAGUUAAAAAAAAUAUAAAUUUUAUGUAAAUAAAAAUAAUUUAAUUAACUGGUGUGGUGAAUCUCACUUCAUAACGAAUUCAUAUAUCGGUCCAAUAAAUUAGGUCCAAUUUAAUUAACUUGUGUGGUGUAUAUAUAUAUAUAUAUAAAAAUAAUCAUCAAUAGUUUUGACAUUAGAAGUCAAUUCACCAACAACUUAAAAAUUCAACCUCUUUAAUAAAAAUACUUUUUAUAUUAAAAAAGUUGAAUUUUCCAUGAAUGAUUGGUGAGAGAAUUUUUAUUGAUUUCAUAUAAUAAUAAUAGUUUUUUUUGUAAAAAUGAUACCGAGAAAAAAUAAUCACAAGUAUACAAGACAAAAUUCAACCUCUCCACAUUGAUGUGUUAGGUUGGAAUCCUUAAACUGUUUUUGCCACAGUUCUUCGACUAGGUUUUAAGUUUAGAUUUUGACUUGUUAUAUAUUUUUUAAAUUGAUUUUUUUUAAAAAAAUCAUUAAUAUCUUUCCUUACGGUAAAUAAAAAAAACAUAAUUCAUUCUUCUAUUUAGAAGAUAUUUGGAAUCAUUUGCUGGAUCUAUUUUCUGUUUUUAUUUUCAGAUUUUAAAAUGACCCCUCGGAAAACAAUUCCAACCAAUUAUUUGCCAUGGAAUUUGGACGCUGUAUAAUUCCAAGUGGGCAUGCUGCAUUUCUUAGCCAGGUGUAGCAAGAAUUGAGGUAGCUUGUUUCUGGCUUUUGCUUCUCGGGGUAUGAUUUGUUGGGCUAGUUUAUAGGCCUUUUGCACUAGGGUUUUUGUCCUUUCUGCUAAUUUAUCUAAAUAUAGGCUUUAGAAUUUUUUUAGAGUGUAUUUGGUAUUGCGGUAGUUGUUGUGGUUGUUGUUUAAAAAAAAUUGUUUUAUAAAAAGUACUUUUAGUUGUGAUUGGUUUGAAAAAAUAGGUGUUUGGUUAAAACUGUGGUUGAAAUUGAGGUUGAAGAAAAAGUAGUUUAAUGUGUUUGGUUAAGAAUGUUUUUGAAAUUGAGGUUAUAAAAUAAUUUAAAAAAAUAUAAAUUAAUAUUGAUGGUUUUUAAUUUAAAUAUUGUGGAUUUAACUAUUGCGGUAACAUUAUGAAAUAAAUCAUACUUUAUAUAUAAAAAAAUUUAUUGUUCUAUUAAACUAUCUACAAUUCCAUUACGUACAAAAUUUAUCUGACAAGAAAUACAGUUUCCAUAAUUUUUUAGCGUGUAAUAAAAUUAGAUAAAAUAUUAUCAUGUAUAAAAUUCACUCUAAAUUAGUUUUUUUAAAAAAAAUUAACAAAAAAAAAAACUUAACACACUAAAAAAAAUAAAAUAAUAAUAAUAAUAUUCACGCAGUGCAAGUGAACAGUGCAAGAAAAGUGCACUGUUCACUAUUUUUAACAUGAACAGUGCACUUUUCGUGCACUGUUCAUGAACAGUGCAUCAUUUUGCGCUGUUUAUGUUAAUUGCAUUGUUCAUUGAACAGUGCAAUUACGUGAACAGUGCAAAAAAAGCAUGUAAUUCUUGCUUUGCAAAUACUGCGUUUCCAACGCAGAAAACAGGUGGGACCCAGUGAACAGUAAACUGCUUUUUUUAGUAACCAAACGGCUACAACUGUGUUUUAAAAAAAACACAGCCGCAGAGCCGAACGGGCUCUUAAUGAAACUAGCGUUCUUGAUUUCUUGGCGGUAGAAAUAACAGGACUAUUAUUAAAUUAAAAUUAAAAUUAAAAAAAAGUCAGCUCAGACUUUUACCAUGUACCAAUAGAGAAAACACGGCGUCUCUCUGUUUUUUUUUUAAGCAUUUUUGCUUUUAAUUUCAUUAUAAUAAUUUAUUUCAAUAAGCUUAUUAUGCUUAUUAUGAAGCUCUCACAGACAAGUCAAGGCCCAGAGUCGUGAAAUUCACUUUGAACCAGCCUGCACGCACUUAAAAUAGUAAUGUUGGGGAGAUGAUUUUUAAAAUUUUGAUCCCUAGAGUUUUUGCAUCUUUUAUUUUUAAUUUUAAUUUUGAUUUAAAAUUUCAUAUUAUUCAUUUUCAUGUUGUUCGUUUUUUGGUUCAAGAUGAAAGAAAGAAAGCAACAAAAAAAACUUUGAAAAAGAUAAAAAAUUAUUGGUCGACAACUUUCCGGCAACAAAAACACGUACAGUAUCUUCGUAUCAAUGGAAAACCGGUGUGCAGAUUGGAUAGCAAAUCAAGCUUCACAGUAGAUGUUGAAGUUUUCUACUGCACUGAAGCUCCCUAUGGUUGUUUGAAGCUAAAGCUUGAUGGCGUUCCUGGGGUUUUGAUGAGUGCACGAUAUUGCAUUCUAAAUGUUCUAUCAUUGGAAUAAAAUGCAAAAAUGUGAAUAAAAAUAAUUGAAAUUAAAGGGUAAGUCAAGGUCCAGAGUCGUGAAAUUCACUUUGAACCAUCCUGGACGCACUUAAAGUAGUAAAGUUUUUUUUUCUUGGAAACAGCCUGAAUGCACUUUUAAGUACUUUAAUCACAACUUUCCACUCACAUGUCGGAUUGCUGUGAUUCUUGACGCGUUGAAAAGGUUUCUUGAAGGGCUACAAAUUAGUCUCUGAUGAGGAUUUCAAAAAAAGAAGAACUAAAGCAUGUACGUCGCUGCCACAGAAGUCCUAAAAUCUAGGUUUUGAUGAAAACGUGUGGACCAUGGAGACGUGAUGAAAAGUGGGGCUGCCUCCUUUAGAAAAAGAAAUCUAGGUUAACUUGAUUAUGUCGUGAACAGGAUAUUAAACCGAAAUAACUCUAUAAAAUAAUAAACAAAAUCAUGAAACUCACCUCAUAUCCUAAUAUUAAAAAAUAUUGAAAAAAUAUAAUUUUUUAAAUGAAAAAAAAACUAAAAGUAAAUCAAACUAAUUUUUGAAACAUGUGACUCGGGUUUCACCUUCUGCUAUCUGCCUAGCAGUGAUAUAAAACGAUUUGAGUCCAUAUUGGAAGGAAUAGCAUCCACGAGGAAGUCCAAAUUAAUUAAAUGCGUAGGCCUCCUCUUUCUUCAAUCUUCUGCUGCUGUGAUUAUUAAAGCCUUGCCAAUAAUUACAGAUCAUAGCAUCCACGAGGAUGACGUUCAUUAAAUUUUUCUCUACAGUCAAUCUUUUUCCUUGACAAGCACAGGCAGGCAAUAUUAGUGGUAAAAUUUGGGAUGUUAAUUCCUUGACAAGCACAGGCAAUAUUGUUGAUUCAACUUUCCAAAAUGUAAUCUUUAGCCACCACAAAGCUUCACACACACACACACACACACACGAGUGUGAAAGUUUAUACACUUCAAAGUAAAGUUAAAGACAAGAGCAUAUAUAAUUGUUAAACCCCGUAUGAUUUGUUUCUGGCUUGUGCUUCUCUGGGAAUGAUUUGGUGGGCUAGUUUAUAGCUCUUUUGCACUAGGGUUUUUGUCCUUUCUACUAAUUUAUCUAAAUACAGGAUUUAUAAUCUUGAUGAAUGAAACUAGCAUUCUCGAUUUCUAGGUGGUAGAAAUAAUAGGACUAUUAUUAAAAUAAAAAUAAAUAAAUAAAUAAAUAAAUAUGCUCAGACUUUUACCAUGUACCAAUAGAGAAAACACCGCGUUUCUCUGUUUUUUUUUAAAAAAUUAUUUUUAUUUUAAAUUUUAUCAUAAUAGUUUAUUUCAAUAAGCUUAUUAUGCUUAUUAUGAAGCUAUUAAGAAAAAACAUUUCAAUGUAGAGUUGAAGCUCUCACAGACAAGUCAAGGCCCAGGAGUCGUGAAAUUCACUUUGAACCAGCCUGGACGCACUUAAAAUAGUAAUUUUUUUCUAUUUUUUUAAUUUGUCUCCGUGGAGACUCGAUACCCCAAAGUCGGGCUACAAUCACCACAAAAAUCUUUGUAUUUUUAACUGACAAAAAGUCACUGAAAAACUCGGAAAAAUAUGGAAAAUUAUUGGUUGAUAAUUUUUGGCAAAAAAAAAAAAAAAACUAUCAUCUUUGUGCUAAUGAAAAACUGGCGUGCAGAUUGGAAAGCAAAUCAUACUUUAUAGAUCGAGGGCUAAAAUAUACAUUUGUAGAAGGGAGUUGGGAAGAAAAUAAAUUUUCAUGGGUAUGGAAAAGUUCGAUGACGAGAUGUUUUGAAAGAGAGGGGUAUGACGUUCAUUGUACAUUGACUGAUGUAUCUUUUUAAAUUUUGUUUUUAGUAUUUUUAGAUUAUUUUAAUAUAAUAAUAUUAAAAAUAAAUUUUACAAAAUAAAAAAAUUACCAAACACACCUGCAAGCGAAUAUUGGUUGACUCAAAACCUUUAAUUUGUCUUUUAAUUUCUUUGUAUCCCAAUUAGUAAUUGCUACGUAAUUAGAUUUGGAGCCUCACUAUCAUUUGCACACUUAAUCUAGCCUUGUCAGAGCUGAUUUAUCUUUACAGUUGUUUUUUAAAAAUAAUUUUUUAAUAUUUUUAGAUUAUUUUGAUGUGUUGAUAAAAAAUAAAUUAUUUUAAAAAAUUAUUUUAAUAUAUUUUUAAAUAAAAAAUAUUUUUUAAAAAAAUUCACAGCAUGCAGAAAUAUGCUAUUCUUUUUAGAAAAUUUCAUGUGUUUACAUUUUCUUGGCAGCUUCUUCGAAACUUCAACAUUGGAGCGCGUCCACGCGUUAAUUAAUUAUUAUUGAGGCGACCUUACUAAUAAAUAAUAGUAUGUAAAUUCUCUUCCACAUCUCAUCCCACAAUAGAAUUCCCUAUUUUCCUUUCCCAUCUCAUGAUCAGUGCGAACUAGAUUUAUGUAUACUGCAAGUACUUUAUUAUUUUUCUAAGCCAUAUAUUCUUCUCUGAUCUGUGAUUUCUCUCUCUGUUUUUUUUUUGGCUGAAUACUGCUCAAGCGAACCAGCACUUGAAUCCAGGUAAAUGAUUUUGUCAAUUUGAGUUAAGCAGCCAUGAUUGUUUUUGUUCACCCGUCAAAAAAAUCAGCUCUUCUACCUUCCUUCCCCUGCUUUCUUCAACAGCUAUCCUCUUCUGCAUCUUUCUAUCUAUCAUUCUAGAGUUUUAGGAUAGAAUUUGAGUAUGAUAAUUUAGCUUUAAAUACAAAGGGUUAAAUCAUUAACAACAACAUUUAUAUUUCCUAUUUUUCAUCCGAAUUUCUUUAACAAACAAGAAAGUCAUAUAUAUGUUCUUUUCUGAUCUGUGCUUUCUGUUCUUUUUAAACCUCUGUACGUACUAAUCAUCUUCUACUUGUGGUCAGAUGGAAGGGUUCCUACCAUCUUCUAUGGAGGAUGAUGUCAACUUUACAUCGAAUCAGUUCGAUCUUCAAUCACUACUGUCGGAGCUUGAGCUUCUCUCGUACGUCAUUUUUAAGCAUAUUUUAUCAGAAGAUGAUUGCUUGCAAUUUAGUUAUUCUUCAGUUUAUCGUUUUAUUCCCAAAAAACAAUAUAAUGUCGUCACUGACUGUGGAAGCAGGCCGCCACCGGAGGUUCCAGUCAACCAAAGCUUCAUGUUAUGCAAUGAUCAUGUUGGACAGAACAUGGUGGUGGAUAACAAUGUGAUCAACGAUAGUAUUCAACAAACAACUGUGUUUCCACCUUCAUUUCCUCAAACCAUGGUGAGUGCUCAUGCCUACUCCAAUUUGCUACAAUGUCCAUUGAAUUGGCAAGUGUUUGUAUUAUACAAAAAGAUUUAUCUAAUUGUUUAUUGUUUAACAAACAGACAACAAUGGGAGGUUUGAAUGGAACAUCAUCAUCAUGGAUCAACCAAAAUGAACCAAAUUGGCCUCAAACUGAACCAAAUCAGCCGGGACAUGACUAUAUGACACCGAACGCAACCACUUCACAACAUGGUGGCUUCAUUCAACCUGAACCUUCUUUUCCUCCUCUCCGGUAUCCAAUUUUUCAUAUUUAGUAUUUUCUGUUAAAAAAAAAUUAGUUUUUCAAUUAGGAAAGCAACAUCAUAGCUUGGACAUGAACCCAGCAAGAUAAUCAUAAGUUUGUAAUGCUUCAUAUUGCUUGCGAAUGAUUUUGGAUUCAGGAGUCCAUUUCUUUCUAAUCAAGGACAAGACGAUCAAGCUGCUGUAAUUCCUAACAUAGACAAUAUGCAACAAGAGAACAUCGUGCCUCGGCACUUUGGCAACUCUACUAGGUACUGAUUGACCUCUAGCUGUUGUGUUUUAACACACUACGUAUUAAUACCCUUUUGAUAAUUAGAUACCACCAAUUAUCGAAAGGUUUUAUAAUAUGAUCACAUCAUUUAUAUAUAGGUCACAGAUGGAUAAUCUCCAAGUCCGAGGAUUGCAAAAUCAAACUGCUAGGCCAAAUGCCUCAAAUCCUGGCCUUGGCACUUCCCUGCAAAGUCAAAAUAGGGGUUUAAAUACUCAACAAGUAAGAAGUAUAACUGAAUUAUUGUCGUCUUUUUUUCCCCUUUGACUGUGCUAUAAACUAACUAUCAAUUUUAAUAGCAAAAUAAGGGUAACUUGAUCCGUUAAUUUUUAUUCCAUAUUUUGACCGAUUUUUAUUCUAUAUUUGACUUUUUUUUUUCUUUUUCUUCUAUAGGUCAAAAUGGUUGGAUCAAAUCUGUUAUUGUUUCAAUAUUUUUUUUUAAAAAAAUUAUUGUCUAGAAAUUUUUUUAAAAGCUAAGCCAUGUUUUACUAGUUUUCUAAGUUGUAUUUGGAUAUUGAUCGAUUUAAAUUGAGUUAAUUUCCAUAUAAUUUAAUUAAAAAUUUAAAUUAAAUAAAAAGUUAGGUUAGAAGAUUUUAAUAUUAACUCCCCUGACCAGGUUUAAUAAUAUUGCCAACAAACUUUCUUCACUCUUAACAUUUUAUUUUUAUAUUUUAAAAAAAUUAAUCCCCUAGAAAAACUAGGACAUAUUAUUGAGUGUAGGUUUUGUUUAUUAAAAGUAAGGAGUCUUUGACUGCAUGUAAUGGCAUCGACUGAAAACCUUUAAUCACAUGCUAUUAAUCACAUAUUUAAUCUGUUAUUGUUAGAGCACAUGCUUUUCAAAAACUUUGAAUUAUUUUCCAUUUAAAUUAUUAUUUUUUUAUUAAAAAUAAAUUUUAAAAAAUAAAAAAAUUAUUAUUUUAAUUAUUUUAAAUAAAAAAUAUUUUAAAAAGCAAAGUAUAUUAUUGUUUCUCAUAUUCAUGUAUUUACAUUUUCUAGGCAUCUUCUAAGCAUCAUAAUUGGGUAGGUAAAGUAGUGUUUUUAACUCCUUUUCUUUUCCAAUUAAUGGGACUGCCAUUCAUUAAUGGGACAUAUUUAAUCUUUCAUGUAUUUACCUCAGUAAUCCACUCAUAUAUAUAUAUAUAUAUAUAUAUAAUUUGCUAUGUGCUUUCUGUUCUUUUUUCACCUCAGUAUGUACUAAUCAUCUUGUACUUGUGGUUAGAUGGAAGGGUUCCCACCAUCUUCUAUGGAUGACUUGACAGAGUUCGAUCUUGAAUUACUAUUUCUCUCGUACGUCAUUCUUAAACAUAUUUUAUCAGAAGAUGAUUGCUUGCAAUUUAGUUACUUCAGUUUAUCCUAUUAUUGACAAAAACUAAUAAUGUCACUGUCCAUGGAAGCAGGCUGCCACCGGAGGUUCCAGACAUCCAAAGCUCCAUAUUAUGCAAUGAUCAAGAUGGACAGAACAAUGUGACCAUGGUGAGUACUAAUUCUUACUCCAAUUUGCUGCAAUGUCCAUUGAAUUAGCAAGUGUUUGUAUUAUACAAAAAGUUUUUAUGUUCUUAUCUCGAGCAUCUUCAAAUUGUUUAUUGUUAAACAAACAGACAACAAUGGGAGAUUUAGACAUUUUUUUAUGAUAUUUUUUUAUCAUUAAGUUUUAUAUAAAAUUGGCCUCAAACUCUAUCAAGGCAUCAUAAUUCCUUUAUUCAUCAACCUCAGACGGGACAUAUGACACAGAACGCACCCACAUCACAACAUGGUGAAUUCAAUCAACCUGGACCUUCUUUGCCCGCUCCCAGGUAUCCAAUUUUUCAUGUUUAGUAUUUUCUGGAAAAAAAAAUUUAGUUUUUCAAUCAUUAUGUAACUUCUUCUUCUUCUUCUUCCUCUUGUCGUUGUACUUAUCAGUGAAUUCAUUAUGUUUGAAUAUAGGUAUCAGCCUAAUCCUAAUUUAUUUGAUCCUCAAUGUGUCAAUCCCAUGCUGCCUGGACCAUCAAUGCCUUUGUGGUAAGCUAAAAUGAUAUCAAAUGCUUAGUGGAUUAAUAGCGAAGAAUUAUGCAUGUGUAUAAAGAAAUUACUAACAAAUGUUGCUAAUUUAGGGACCAACAAUUGACUAAUUAUCAGUUACCAAUGAGCAAUCGAGUGCCUACCUUAAACUUUUUUAAUCAAUGGUAUUAACCUCGAAUAUAUAUACACUUUUUUAUGUUUAGUAUUUUCUAUAAAAAAAAAAUUAGUUUUUCAAUCAGGAAAGAAACAUCAUAUCUUGAACAUGAACCCAACAAGCUAAACAUAUUGUUUGCAAAUGAUUUUGGAUUCAGGAGUCAAUAUUUUUCUAAUCAAGGACAAGUCGAUCAAGCUGCUGUAAUUCCUAACAUAGACAAUGUGCAACAAGAGAACUUCGUGCCUAGGUACUGAUUGACUUCUAGCUGUUGUGUUUUAACACCAUUAACUUUUACUGCUUAAGAGAGACUACCAAUUAUGGAAAGGUUUUAUAAUAUGAUCACUUCAUUUAUAUAUAGGUCACAGAUGGAUAACCUCCAAGUCCGAGGAUUGCAAAAUCAAACUGCUAGGCCAAAUGCCUCAAAUCCUGGCCUUGGCACUUCCCUGCAAAGUCAAAACUAGGGGUUUAAAUACUCAACAAGUAAGAAGUAUAACUGAAUUAUCGUCGUCUUUUUCCCUCCUAUGAUUGUGCAAUAAACUAACUAUCAAUUUUAAUAGCAAAAUAUGGGUAACAACACUGAAGUAGUAGUUUCUCAUCCAUCUGGAUAUGGUGUAACUUGCAUCAAUUUUUAUUCUUUAUUUUGACCUACCUUUUUUUUUAUAUAGGUCGAAAUGGUUAGAUCAAAGGAUCCAUUUUGGAAUUAUAUUGAAGAUAGGACUGAUGGUAGCAUGAAGUGUAAGUUUUGUCCACAUACAUUUGCCAAUAAAACCUCCAUUUCAAGGAUCAAAUGGCAUUUAUCAGGAGAGGAAGGGCAUAAUGUUGCCAUUUGUCAUGGGGUGCCUAAAGAAGUUCAAGAAGCAGCCUGGAAAGCUAUGUGUGGUGGCAACAAAAGACAUAAAAUCACAGCAGGUUCGAUCAAUGUUAAUGAUUGUGGAAUUUCAACAAUGGUAGGAGGAAUUGGAAGGGUACAAAGAGAAGUUCAGGUUGUAGAACCCGGAGUAGUGGAAGAGAGGAUUUCUUCACAUGCAAUAGCAGGAAACGACGUAGUAAGCAUGACCGGAAUGAGAGCACAAGAAGAUGGAGUUUCCGAAGGGGCACUCGAGAGCAGACUGAGGACAGAACCAGUGGAUCGAUCGUUGGAACAAAGCAAUGCAGUACUUGGCAAUAUGGCAGGGGGAGCUAGAAGGAUACAAGUGGGAGUUCAGGGCAUGGAACAAGAUCCAGGAGAAGAGAGAAUUCAGUCGCAUCUACAAGCGGAAAAUGGCAUGGAAAACACUGGUGAAGGAUCUUUUCAGCAUGAUGCAUUUGAGACUGUACCAAGAACAGAGAAAGUGCAGACUCUGGAGCCUCGAUGAGAUUCAUCCCAAUUUUGUCAUGGCAUUGGAAGAUGUUAUGAUCAACCUUGUGCUCCAUCAGGAAACAAUGAUGUAACUAGUCAUGAUGAGCAGCAUAUGGUUAGAGUGAGGACACAACCAGUGCAGAAAGAGGAGGAUGUGGAAAAUAGUGGAAGAUCAGUAGUGCAGGCUGGCGCAGGAGCUAGAUCUUCUGAAAGUCUGAAGUACAACAAGACUAGAGGAGUUCCAUUACCUACUAGCUCUACAAAGCCAGUGGGUCAAGCAUUUGAAGAGAAUACGAAGGUGAUAUGGUCUUUGUUAAUGGAUGAUGAAGUCUCAACCAUUGGUAUUUAUGGGAUGGGGGAGUUGGUAAAACAACAAUACUAAAACAUAUCCAUAAUGAGCUUCUACAAAGACUAGAUAUUUAUGAUCAUGUUUGGUGGGUGACUGUGUCUCAAGAUUUCAACAUUAAUAGAUUGCAGAAUCUUAUUGCUACACAACUUCAUCUAAACCUUUCGAGAGAAGAUGAUGAUCUGCAUAGAGCUGCCAAAUUGUUAGAAGAACUAAAGAAAAAACAAAAAUGGAUUUUUAUUUUAGAUGAUUUGUGGAACAAUUUUGAGCUUGAGGAAGUGGGAAUUCCUGAGAAGUUGAAAGGAUGCAAGUUGAUUAUGACAACUCGAUCAGAAAUGGUUUGUCAUCGGAUGGCUUGCCACCGCAAAAUCAAGGUGAAACCACUUUCUGAGGGAGAAGCUUGGACUUUGUUCAUGGAAAAACUUGGACGUGACAUAGCACUUUCACGAGAAGUGGAAGGAAUUGCGAAAGCUAUUGCAAGGGAAUGUGCUGGUUUGCCAUUGGGAAUUAUUACAGUGGCAAGAAGCUUGAGGGGAGUGGAUGACCUGCAUGAGUGGAGAAAUACAUUGAAGAAAUUGAGAGAAUCAGAAUUUAAGGACAAGGAAGUAUUCAAGUUAUUGAGGUUUAGUUAUGAUCGGUUAGGUGAUUUAGCACUACAACAAUGUCUCUUGUACUGUGCAUUAUUUCCCGAAGAUGAUAGGAUUAAGAGGGAGAGGUUGAUAGGUUAUUUGAUCGAUGAGGAGCAUGAAAGAUGCAUUUGACGAGGGCCACACGAUGCUUAAUAAACUUGAAAAUGUCUGCCUAUUGGAAAGUGCUCAAAUGAUGUCUACAGGUAGUAGAUAUGUCAAGAUGCAUGACUUGAUUAGAGACAUGGCCAUCCAUAUACUGGUAGAGAGCCCUCAAUACAUGGUUAAAGCAGGUGCACAAUUAAAAGAGUUGCCAGAUGCAGAGGAGUGGACGGAGAACCUGACGAUAGUUUCACUAAUGCAAAACAGAUUUGAAGGAAUUCCUUCCAGCCAUUCACCAAAAUGUCCAAAUCUGUCAACUGUAUUUCUAUGUGAUAAUGAAGGGUUGGGAUUUAUUGAGGAUUCAUUUUUCAAGCAAUUGCAUGGGCUCAAGGUCCUCGAUCUGUCCUGGACAGUUAUUAAAAAUUUGCCAGACUCUGUCUCUGAUUUGGUGAGUCUCACUGCGUUAUUGCUCAAUGAGUGUGACAAUUUAAAACAUGUUCCAUCAUUAAAGAAGCUCAGGGCACUGAAGAGGUUGGAUCUCUCUAGACUCUAGUACUGCACUUGAAAAUAUGCCGCAAGGAAUGGAAUGCCUAACCAACCUGAGGUAUCUUAGAAUGAAUGGAUGCGGUGAAAAGGAGUUUCCUAGCGGGAUAUUACCAAAACUCUCUCACCUGCAAGUCUUGGUACUAGAAGAGUUUCCUAGUGGGAUAACAGUUAAAGGAAAGGAAGUAGGAUCCUUGAGAAAUUUGGAAACUUUGGAGUGCCAUUUCGAAGGUUUAUCUGACUUUGUGGAGUAUCUCAGAUCUCGGGAUGGGAUUCAAUCAUUAAGCACAUAUAAAAUUUUAGUAGGAAUGGUGGAUUACUUGUAUUGGGAAAACAUUAAUGAUUUUCCAAGUAAAACAGUUGGGUUGUGUAAUUUGAGUAUCAACAGAGAUGGAGAUUUUCAGGUCAAGUUCUUAAAUGGUAUUCAAAGACUGAUUUGUGAACGCAUCGAUGCAAGAAGUUUAUGUGAUGUUUUGUCAUUAGAGAAUGCAACUGAACUGGAGGACAUCAACAUUCGGGAUUGCAAUAACAUGGAGAGCUUGGUUUCAUCUUCUUGGUUCUGCUAUGCUCCACCACCAUUGCCAUCAUAUAAUGGUAUGUUUUCUGGGCUUAAAGAGUUUUAUUGUGGUGGAUGUAAAAGUAUGAAGAAGCUGUUCCCACUUGUGCUGCUGCCAAACCUCGUAAACCUGGAAAGGAUUGAAGUGAGGUGCUGUGAGAAAAUGGAGGAGAUAAUAGGAACAACAGAUGAAGAAAGCCGCACCUCCAAUCCCAUCACGGAAUUCAUUCUCCCAAAGUUAAAAACUCUGAAAUUGUCUGUUUUACCAGAACUGAAAAGCAUUUGCAGUGCAAAACUGAUUUGCAAUUCUCUUAAAAAAAUUAGGGUAAGUUUUUGUAAGAAGCUGAAGAGGAUGCCAAUUUGUCUUCCGUUGCUUGAAAAUGGCCAGCCAUCUCCUCCCCCUUCUCUUAAAAAAAUCGAAGCAAGUCCAAAAGAAUGGUGGGAGACAGUAGUGGAGUGGGAGCAUCCUAAUGCAAAGGAUGUCCUUCGUCCCUUUGUAAAGUUUGGGUACUGGUAAUCCUUCCGUUGUAAGAAUACUAAUCGAUUGUAACCUUAAAUUUGCUCAUAUUCAAUAACAUUCAAUUCUUUCAAUCAUUUUUGUUAAAAAUCACGUGCAAAACAUAAUAUAUGUUUUUUCGAUAUGAAUGAUGAAAAUAGUCCUUUAAAACAACAAGGAUAUUCUUAUUAAUUAUAAUUUGAAGUUUGAUUAAUAUUAUAUUUUCAUCCUAUUGAGGUUCUCCAAGAUGAAAAUCCAAAAAAUAAAAAAAUACUAAAUUGAUUUAUCAUUAAAGUAACCUAAUAAAAUAAUAGAUGUUUUGAAAGAAAGGGGUAUGGCGUUCAUUGUACUCUAAACUCAUUGACUGAUGUACCUCUUAAAAAUUGUAUAUGUUACCAGAACUGAAAAGCAUUUGCAGUGUAAAACUGAUUUGCAAUUCUCUUGAAUAUAUUUGUGUAAUCGAUUGUGAUGAGCUGAAGAGGAUGCCAAUUUGUCUGCCGUUGAAUGAAAAUGGCCAGCCAUCUCCUUCCCCUUCUCUUAAAAAUAUCUAUUCAAGUCCAAAAGAAUGGUGGGAGUCAGUAGUGGAGUGGGAGCAUCCUAAUGCAAAGAAUGUCCUUCGUUCUUUUGUAAAGUAAUAUAAUACAGUGUGCUUACAAUUACAUAAAUAACAUUUUUCAUUUUUUUUUAUUUCAUUAAAGACUACUGAAUUGUCAUAUAUAUAUUUUAACUCGAUAGAUAAAUAAUUAUAAUUUGAAGUUUGAUUAAUAUUAUAUUUUCAUCCUAUUGAGUUUCUCCAAGAUGAAAAUCCAAAAAACAAUAAUAAAAAAAAUACUAUAUUGAUUUAUCAUUAAAGUAACCUAAUAAAAUAAUAAAUCUACACACAUUUUUAAAAUGUCUAAGAGAGAGUAUGAAUAUGGCAGUUUUGGUUUCUCAACCUGUAACUGCCAUAUUCAUAAACACAUUUUUUAAAUAACUGAAAUUCUAAGACCAAAUUUCGUACUAAAACUAGAAAGUAGCAUAGGUUAAUAAUUAUUAUCUUUUUUAUUUUUAAUUAUAAUCUAAAAUUUGUAGUGUGUGGUCCCGCACCAUGUGAUGGGGGGACCACCACAUUAAUCAAGAAGAGAGGCAGUUGGCUGCCUCUUUAAUUUAAAUGUGUCUGCCACUGUAGAAGGUAGACGAGAGAGAGAGGGAGAACAAAAUUAAAAGAGAGCAAAAACAGAAGAGAAAAACGUGAGAAAGAAAGAAGAGGAGGCAGCAGAGCAGUCUGUCUUCUUUCUUCGAUUUCCAGUUCGUUCACCGUUGGAUCGAGCUGAGAUUUGGACAGAAUCUUCUAGACAUGUUACUCUUCAUUUUGAACGGUUGGAUUGAAGAUUGGUGGUGUGGAAGCUGGUUGUUUUGACAGAAAACGGGGCUGUCAGUGUUGUGAGCUUUUCUCUAACAUUGCUCUCUUUAAUCUUGUUGUAAUCCCAGAAUAUGUUGUUCUUGAUGAUAUAUAUGUUGUAGCCCUUAGUUAAUCUGAGGAAGAACUAUUGUGAACCCAUUAUUUGUGAUAGUGGAAGUUUUUAGGUGGACUCCGAUCCCGUGGUUUUUCCCGCAUCGGGUUUUCCACGUAAAAAUCUUGGUGUUGAUGUGUGUGAUUGUUGCAUUAUAUUUGUUCAUUGUUUGAUUCUGUUUUUUACUGCACAAAGAGGGAAAAAGGAUUGGGACUUGUUAAUUGUGAAUUGUAUUCCGCUGAAUUGAUCCGGUUAUUUGUCCCUAGUUUUCCCAACAGAGUGGUAUCAGAGCAUUUGGUUGUGUAGAUUGAAUUCUUAUGCAGUUAAAAUGGAAAAGGAAGAUUCGGGUAUGAAAAAGCUCACUUCCUCAAAUUAUUUUCUAUGGAAAACAAUGAUGGAGGAUCACUUAUAUUGCAAUGAUUUGGCUUUGCCAAUUGAAUGUAAAGGAAUAAAGCCUGAUGAUAUGGAUGAUGCAAAAUGGAAUGGACUUAAUAGAAAGGCUACCGCUAAUGUUAGAAAAUUGGUAUCUUCUAAGUCCAUUAAUCAUAUUUCUCAAGAACAUGACUGCUAUACAGUGUGGAAGAUGUUGGAAGAAACAUUUGCCAAGGAGAGUGCACAAAACAAGGUUUUUGUAAUUAAAGACCUUGUGAAUUUGAAGUAUAGAGAUAGUGAAGAUGCUUCAGUGCAUAUAAAUGUAUUCCAAGGGUUCUUGAAUCAGCUGUCAUUGAUGAACCUUGAGUUAGCCGAUGAAAUGCAAGCAUUAAUCCUAUUGAGUUCAUUGCCGGAUAGUUGGGAGACUUUGGUAGUGUCACUUAGCAAUUCUACUCCGAAUGGAAAGCUCACUUUGAAAACAGUGAAGGAUUGUAUCCUCAAUGAAGAGAAGAGGAGGAAAGGGACAAGCACUUCCGAGUCUCAUGCACUUGUUACAGAAAGUCGAGGGAGAAGUCAAAGCAGGUUCUCUCACGGCAAGCAAGAUGGAGAAUCUAGCAAUAGAAAAGGCAAAUGAAAGCCAAGAGGAAGAUCUCAGUCAAGGAAGGGUUUUAAGUGUUAUUAUUAUGACAAGCCUGGGCAUGUGCAAAAGGAUUGCAGAAAGUAUAAAAGAGAUAAAAAGGGUAGAGAUGAAGACAAGAAUGAAGAGAAUGGUACAGCUGCAGUUGUAUCUGAUGGUGAUGUUGCCAUUGUGUGUGAUGAUGGUUGUGUUAAUCUUGCAUGUCAAGAUACCACCUGGGUUGCAGAUUCAGCAGCUUCUUACCAUAUUACACCCCGACAUGAUUUUUACACAUCCUACACUGCUGGUGACUUUGGUCAAGUUAGGAUGGGAAAUCAAGGGAUGGCUAGUGUUGUGGGCAUUGGAGAUAUUUGGUUGGAAACCAAUACUGGGUGCAAGUUGCUACUCAAAGAUGUUAGGCAUGUGCCUGAUAUGCGCCUACAUUUGAUCUCUACUGGUACUCUUGAUGAAGAAGGCUAUCAUAGUUACUUUGGAGAUGGUAAAUGGAAGCUCUCCAGAAAUUCCCUAAUUGUUGCUAAAGGGAAGAAGAUGGGUCUUUACAUGUCACAAGCCAAGGUGAUCAAAGGGGAGGUGAAUGCAAUUGAAGAUUGCUCUACUGAUCUAUGACAUAAGCGAUUUGGACAUUUGAGUGAGAAAGGUCUUGGCAUCCUUGCCAGGAAGAACUACCUUCCUUUAAAAGGUAUGAACCUGAACACAUGUACUCAUUGUUUAGUUGGUAAACAACAUAGAGUUGCAUUUCAAAGAUCACCUUCACAUAGAAGGUCACAUGUUCUUGAUUUAGUUCAUACUGAUGUUUGCUCUAUGAUUGAUAAGUCUCUUAGAGGUGCAUUGUACUUUGUUAAUUUUAUUGAUGAUCACUCCAGGAAGAUUUGGGCCAUUUAUUUGAAAUCCAAAGAUCAAGUGCUUGAUGUCUUUAAGGAUUUCCAUGCCAGAGUUGAAAGAGAAACUGGUAGAAAGCUGAAAUGUGUUCGAGCAGACAAUGGUGGUGAAUACAGGGGUCCUUUUGAAAAGUACUGCAGGGAACAUGGUAUCAAGUUGGAGAAGACAGUUCCUAAGACUCCACGGCAGAAUGGAGUUGGUGAGAGAAUGAACAGAACCAUUGUUGAAAGAAUUAGAUGUAUGCUCUCUCAUGCAAAGUUGCCUAAGUCCUUUUAGGGUGAGGCAAUGAAGACUGCAGUUGCCAUGAUCAAUCUUUCUCCAUCAGUUCCUCUUGAGUUUGAUGUUCCAGAUAGAGUGUGGAAAGGAAAGGAUGUUUCCUAUGCACACUUGAGAGUGUUUGGAUGCAGAGCAUUUGUACAUGUUCCAAGGGAUGAAAGGUCCAAGCUUGACAGCAAGACAAAGCAGUGUAUUUUCUUGGGAUCUGAAGAUGAUGAGUUUGGCUAUAGGUUGUGGGAUCCAAAGGAGAAGAAAAUUGUGAGAAGCAGAGAUGUUAUCUUCUUUGAAGAUCAAACCAUUGAAGACUUUGAACUGAAGGAGAAAACAGAGUCUACAACUUUUAUUCCAUCUAAUUCAAAUCCAAGAUCUACUCCACAGUUACCUUUGAUGCCUGCUAAUCAUGGGGGAGAUUUGCAAAAUGAUGAUAAUGGUGGUUUUCUUAUUGAGCCAUUAGUUGGUGAUCAUGAAUCAACUAAUGAUGAUAUUGAUGUUAUUCCUGAACAGGUUAUGCAGGAAGCUCUAGAUGAGCCACAAUUGAGGAGGUCAACCAGACCUCGCCAACCUUCCACCAAAUAUUCUCCUCAUGAGUAUGUGCUAGUUACUGAUGGGGGAGAGCCAGAAUGCUUUGAUGAAGCCAUGUCACAUGAGAAGAAAAGUGAGUGGUUGCAAGCAAUGCAAGAAGAGAUGAAAUCCUUGCAUGAAAACCAUACCUUUGAGUUAGUGAAGCUUCCUAAAGGUAAGAGAGCACUCAAGAACAAAUGGGUGUUCAGGUUGAAAAUUGAUGAACAUUGCUCACAACCAAGUACAAGGCAAGAUUGGUUGUGAAAGGUUUCGGUCAGAAGAAGGGUAUUGAUUUUGAAAAAAUCUUUUCACCAGUGGUCAAGAUGUCUUCAAUCCGAGUUGUGUUUGGCUUAGCUGCUAGUUUGAAUCUUGAAGUUGAGCAACUUGAUUGAAAACUGCCUUUCUCCAUGGUGAUUUAGAUGAGGAAAUCUACAUGGAGCAACCUGAAGGGUUUGAAGCAAAAGGUAAAGAGCAGUUAGUUUGCAAGUUGAAAAAGAGCCUAUAUGGGUUAAAGCAAGCUCCAAGACAAUGGUAUAAGAAGUUUGAUUCUUUCAUGGUGGAUCAUGGUUAUGACAGGACUACUUCUGAUCAUUGUGUAUUUAUGAAAAGGUUUCCAGAUGGAAACUUUAUUAUUCUCCUAUUGUAUGUGGAUGAUAUGUUGAUUGUUGGCCAUAAUGCUAAGAAGAUUCAGAUGUUGAAGGAAGAGUUAAGCAAGUCUUUUGCAAUGAAAGACUUAGGACCGGCAAAACAGAUUCUUGGCAUGAAGAUCACACGUGACAGGAAGAAGGAGAAACUUUGGCUAUCUCAGGAGAGAUAUGUCCAAAAGGUACUUGAGAGAUUCAACAUGAGCAACUCCAAACCGGUUUGUUCUCCAUUUGCAAGCCACUUUAAACUAAGUUCUAAGCAGUGUCCUUCAAGUGAUGAAGAAAGAGAUGAGAUGAAAAAGGUUCCUUAUGCAUCCGCAGUUGGUAGCUUGAUGUAUGCUAUGGUUUGCACAAGGCCGAAUAUAGCUCAUGCAGUUGGUGUGGUUAGUCGGUUCCUCUCCAAUCCUGGUAAAGAACACUGGUCAGCAGUGAAAUGGAUACUCAGGUAUCUCAAAGGUACUUCUAGUUUCAGCUUAUGUUUUGGUAAUGAUAAACCUGUGUUGGAUGGAUACACAGAUGCAGAUAUGGUUGGUGAUGUUGAUUCUAGAAAGUCCACAUCAGGAUACUUGAUGAAGUUUGCAGGGGGAGCUGUCUCAUGGCAAUCAAGGUUGCAAAAAUGUGUUGCAUUAUCCACUACAGAGGCUGAAUAUAUUGCUCUUACUGAAGGGGGCAAAGAGUUGUUAUGGAUGAAGAAGUUCCUACAUGAACUUGGCCUAGUUCAAGAGAACUUUGUGUUGCACUGUGAUAGUCAAAGUGCAAUCCAUCUCAGUAAGCAUCCUACUUUUCACUCUCGAUCAAAGCACAUAGAGGUUAGAUAUCAAUGGAUUCGUGAUGCUAUGGAGAUGAAGUCAUUUGUUGUUGAGAAGAUCCAUACCGAUAACAACGUGUCAGAUAUGAUGACCAAACCUCUACCAAGAGAGAAGUUUGAGUUUUGCAGAAGGGAGGCAGGCUUGUCAGAGCCUCCUAAAUUGAAGCUUACAUGUUGAUCGCCAGUAUGGCGAAUUCCUCACAUGGUGCGUGAGGGGGAGAUUUGUUGUGUGUGGUCCCGCACCAUGUGAUGGGGGGACCACCACAUUAAUCAAGAAGAGAGGCAGCUGGCUGCCUCUUUAAUUUAAAUGUGUCUGCCACUGUAGAAGGUAGACGAGAGAGAGAGGGAGAACAGAAUUAAAAGAGAGCAAAAACAGAAGAGAAAAACGUGAGAAAGAAAGAAGAGGAGGCAGCAGAGCAGUCUGUCUUCUUUCUUCGAUUUCCAGUUCGUUCACCGUUGGAUCGGGCUAAGAUUUGGACAGAAGCUUCUAGACACGUUAAUCUUCAUUUUGAACGGUUGGAUUGAAGAUUGGUGGUGUGGAAGCUGGUCGUUUUGACAGAAAACGGGGCUGUCAGUGUUGUGAGCUUUUCUCUAACAUUACUCUCUUUAAUCUUGUUGUAAUCCGAGAAUAAGUUGUUCUUGAUGAUAUAUAUGUUGUAGCCCUUAGUUGAAUAUGAGGAAUAACUAUUGCGAACCCAUUAUUUGUGAUAGUGGAAGUUUUUAGGUGGACUCCGGUCCCGUGGUUUUUCCCGCAUCGGGUUUUCCACGUAAAAAUCUUGGUGUUGAUGUGUGUGAUUGUUGCAUUAUAUUUGUUCAUUGUUUGAUUCUGUUUUUUACUGCACAAAGAGGGAAAAAUGAUUGGGACUUGUGAAUUGUGAAUUGUAUUUCGCUGAAUUGAUCCGGUUAUUUGUCCCUAGUUUUCCCAACAAAAUUUUAUUAUGUUUACCUUUUGGUCACGAGUUUAAGAUGAAAGCACACAAAAAAGGAACUGCUAAAGCCUAAAUUUUAGGCAAUUUGUUUUUGACACAACAGGGAUCAUGGAGACGUGAUGAAAUAUAAUUUUAAAAUUUAAAAUAUUUUUAAUUAGUUAAGAUUAAAUAAGUUUUUAAAUUAAAACAAUUUAAUUUCAAUAAAAUAUCAAAAUAUUAUGAAAUUAAAAUGUUUUAACACUAAUAUUUUAAAUAUAAAGUUAGGUCAAUGUUAUCAAGGCUAAUGAGAUCUAAAAUAUUCAUUUUUUUUGCUUAAAUUCCUACAAAGUAUAAACUUGAAAAAAACAACAUGAAUAUAAACCAUAUAUAUUAGUGAUAAAUCUAAUUUUAAAAAAUUAAUAUCAUAGUUAAUGAAAAUAGUAAUGAAAAAGAGCUUUUUAUACUUUGAUGUUUUAAUUAUUAAUUGAACCAGGUUCAAUUUGAUUUAAUGGCUUUUUAAGACCAGAACAGAACAUGUGGAAUGAAACCGGAACAUUCCAAACGGAAUUUAGCCAAAAAAUCCGGAAAGGACCGAAAUUUGAAAUGAGAUGAAAAUUAUUUCGUUUUAUUCUAUUUUUUGAAUUAGUAUAAAAUCAUUACAAAUAAAACGAAACGAAAUUAACAACUUUUAUUUUAAUAUAUUUAUAAAUCCCCUAAAAAACUUUCUUCACUCUUGACAUUUUAUUUUUAUAUUUUAAAAAAAUUAAUCCCCUAAAAAAACUAGGACAUAUUAUUGAGUGAGGUUUUGUUUAUUAAAAGCAAGGAUGGAGUCUUUGACUGCAUGUAACGGCAUCGGCUGAAAACCUUUAAUUUGUCUUCUAAUUUUUUCUCUAUUGUUACAUAAUCAGAUUCGCUUCAUCUUAAAUAAUUAUUUUUUUAAUUUUAGAUUAAAUUUAAAAUUGUGAUAUAUAAUAUUUUUUAAAAAAGUAUUUUUUAUUUAAAAAUAUAUUAAAAUAAUAUUUUUUAAGAUUUUUUUUAUUUUUAAUAUCAACACAUCAAAAUCAUAGAAAAAUAAAAAAAAAUUCAUUUAUCUUUUUUAAAAAACAACUAAAAACAAAAACAAUCACAUGCUAUUAAUCACAUAUUUAAUCUGUUGUUGUUAGAGCACAUGCUUUUCAAAAACUUUGAAUUAUUUUCCUUUUAAAUUAUUAUUAUUUUUAUUAAAAAUAAAUUUUAAAAAAUAAAAAAAUUAUUAUUUUAAUUAUUUUAAAUAAAAAAUAUUUUAAAAAGCAAGUAUAUUAUUGUUUCUCGUAUUCAUGUGUUUACAUUUUCUAGGCAUCUUCACGCGUUAACUUCCUAUAUCUUAUAAUAUAAUAUUUGGCAGGUUAAGUAGUGGGUUGCUUGCUAGCAACUUCCUUCCUAUCAAACAAAACAAUAAUUUGUUUAUACUGCUACUUUAUUAUUUUUCUAAAUCAUAUAAUCUUCUCUGAUCUGUGAUUUCUCUUCUCUUUAAAUCCUCAGGACGUACUCAUCAUCUUCUACCUCUUUUCCUUUCCACAUCUAACCAGUGCGAACUAGAUUAUAUUUAUGUGAUUUCUCUUCUGUUUUUUUUUUUUUGGCUGAAUACUGCUCAAUCAAACCAGCGCUCGAAGAACAUCUUGAAUCCAGGUUAAUUAUUUGUACUUCAUCUUCUUCAUCUUGUUGGUGUUUUUGUUUGUAUAUAUGUAACUAUGGUUUGAAUCUUUAAAGGAAUCCAUGAUAAAUAAAUUGAUCUUUUUCUCGGAUUUUAUAAUCCAUGCCUAGUGGAGAGUUCAUACUAAAUUAAUACUGAAUUCAUUGUUUUCGUCUUUUCAAAAUUCUUAGCCGUUUUUAACUCCUUAUUUUAGAUUCACCCUUUUCUUUUCCAAUUAAUGGGACUGCCAUUCAUCAAUAUUUUUCAACUUUCUAUUUUCUUACAAUGAUUCAAUGAAUUAACUUGAUCAAUAAUUACCUGAAUCUUUUUGAACAAAACAAUAUCCUAUUAUUAUUUUUGUGUGUGUUUUAUGAUGCGUAACUAAGGGUUAAAAUAAUCUUGCAAUAUAAAUAGGAGUUGAAAGAGGUUUGUUCACCCCGUCAAAACAAUCAGCUCUUCUACCUUCAACAGUUAUCCUGCAUCUUUCUAUCUAUCAUAAAAAGAAUUUGAUUAUGAUAAUUUAUCUUAAAAGACAAAGGAUUAAAUCAUUAACAACAACAUUUAUAUUUCAUAUUUUUCAUCCGAAUUUCUUUAACAAACAAGAAAGUCAUUCAUAUAUAUAUAUAUAUAUAUAUAUAUAUAUAGAUAGAUAGAUAGAUAGAUAGAUAUUCUUUUCUGAUCUGUGCUUUAUGUUCUUUUUAGACCUCAGUUUUUUAUGUCUUUUCUGAUCUUUUCUGGUCAGAUGGAAGGGUUCCAACCAUCUUUUAUGGAGGAGGUUGACAACAUGACAUGGGAUCAGCUGGGUUUUCAAUCAGAAGAAGAUACAUUCAAUAUGUCUGAGCUUCUCUCGUACGUCAUUCUUGAGCAUAUUUUAUCAGAAGAUGAUUGCUUGCAAUUUAGUUAUUCUUCAGUUUAUCCUAUCAUUCCCAAAAAAACAAUAUAAUGUCGUCACUGUCCAUGGAAGCAGGCUGCCACCGGAGGUUCCAGUCAACCAAAGCUCCAUAUCAUGCAAUGAUCAAGGUGGACAGAAGAAUGUGAUCAACGAUAGUAUUCAACAAACAACUCCGUUUCCAACUUCAUUUCCUGAAACAGUGGUGAGUACUCCAAUUUGCUACAAUGCCCAUUGAAUUAGCAAGUGUUUGUAUUAUACAAAAAGUGUUUGCAUUUUUGUUUUUAAUUUCAUUUGAUAAUUUAUUUCAAUAAACUUGUUAUGGAGCUCUUGUGGUCUAAGAAGAAGAAACAAUUCAAUGUAGAGUUGAUGUUUGACUUAACAAGAUUUUGUUCAAUUUAAUUGAUUAAAAAUAAGUGAAAUUUUGACCGUCAAAUUUGAUAUUAAAAUUUUGAAGAUAAAUAUUGAAGACUGAAUUUGAUAUUAAAACUAAAAAUAAGUAGAAAGUUUUUACAAAGGUAAAUGUUAUGAAAAGAUCGAAAUUGCUAUCCAACUGGUGUGCAGAUUGGAUAGCAAAUCAAGCUAUGUUGAAGUUUUCUACUGCAGUGAAGCUCCCUCUGGUUGCUUGAAGCUAAUGCCUGAUUGUUGCGUUCCUGGGAUUUUGAUAAGUGUAUGAAAGUCUAUUUUAUCAUUAAUUUGUUUUUAUGUUUUAAAAAUAUUUUAAAAAAAUUAAUUUUUUAUUUUAAAUUUAUUCUAACUCUUUUGUUUUAUCAUUCUCAAAGUCCAAACAACAACGGUACUGUCAAGAUUGUUAUGUUUAUGCCCGCAAUCGAAACAUAAUUUGUUUUUGUACUCAGAGUUAUGCUUAUUAAAAAAUCUGGUUAUUUUAAAAAAUAUAUUAAAUUAAUAUUUUUUAAUAUAUUAAUAUUAAAAAUAAAAGAAAAAUAUUUUGAUUACUCAGAAUAAAUAGGAAGCUUUAUAAUAGUUAAGAAACGUAUUCCAAAGUUUAGUUUACUGGUUGACUCACAUAUUAACUGAAUAACCUGAGUAAAAAAGAAAACCACAUCAUAUUAUGAUGGUGUUUAUUAAAAAAAACUAAAAUAACAAUUUUUUUUUAAUAUUAUCUUCUUAAAUAUUUUUAUUUUAAAAAUUUUUCACAUAGUUGUAGAUAAAAAAAAAAUGUUUUAAUUUAGCAACGAUAGAGCAUCCACAAGAAAGAUAUUAUACGGUUAUUAAUUUUCAUUAAAAGAAAAGCUAAGAGACCUGGGAGAACUACUAUAUAUCCACACCUAUUUCAUAAAUUACAAUAGUACGUAAUUCAAGGUGUUUUGCCUUUUUUGUUUUGUUUUUUAAAAUUUGUUUUUGUUUAUUUUAUAAUAGGCUGGUUAUAAUUCAGCUUUAAUUUAUUAAUUUUUAUUCUAUUUUUUUUAUAAGAUUAACGUAAUUUAUAGAUUUGUUAAAAUAACUCAAAUUAUACUAGUUUUCAGAUUUGAUGGGAUAUUUUUUUGUUUAUUAAUUAAAAGAAAAACUAAAAGGUGUAAGAGAAUCACUAUUUACCCACACUCAUUUCAUUAUGGAUUACAAUAGUAAUCUAUAGUGUUUUGUCUUUUCUGUUUUUUUCCUUUUCUUUCCUUUUUUUUUAUCAUUUUUAAAAAUAAUUCUUUUGUCUAUUUCAUAUUUGGGCCGAAUUAGCAUAUAUAUAUAUAUAUAUAUAUAUAUUGGAUUGGUGUUUAAUUUUACAAGUAUAAGUAUCUAUUUUUGUUAUCAUAUUAUUAAAUAAAAAUAAUUUUUUAAAAAAGUAUAAUCCUAGUUAAGUCCAUAACCUUGUUCAUGAGUUUGAUGUGCUAGCCCAAGUUACCUGAUUCACGAGUUUGACAGGUUUAUCAAUUGAUCGAAUAUGGUUUUUUUUUGUUUCUGGUCUUUUAAUUUUUUUAAUUGAUUUUUUUUCAAUUUUGUCCUUCAAUAUUAGAUUGGUUUGGAAAUAGACUAAAUGAUUUAUUUUUGUUUGCUUUCUAUAGGGUUAUCAAAAUCUUAAAUAAAUAUUUAUUUUAGGGAUGAAACUCAAUUUUAUGAGUAUUUAUUUUUAUCAUAUAAUUAAAUUAAAAAAAAGUUUAAAAAAAUUAUUAAACCCAAUAGAAUCGAUGAUCCAGGUCGCGAGGGACCGGGAUCGAUCAAAUUUGUCAUUGUUUCAAUAUUUUUUUUUAAAAAAAAAUUGUUGUCUAGAAGUUUUUUGUCAUAGAAUCGAUGACCGAGAGCAAAAAUUGUUUUCGUUUUGCUCUUCCCCUGCUUUCUUCAACAGUUAUCCUGCGUCUUUCUAUCUAUCAUUCUAGAGUUUUAGGAUCUCGUGUCAUAUAAAGAAUUUGAGUAUGAUAAUUUAGCUACAAAGACAAAGGAUUAAAUCAUUAACAACAACAUUUAUAUUUCAUAUUUUUCAUCCGAAUUUCUUUAACAAACAAGAAAGUCAUUCAUAUAUAUAUAUAUAUAUAGAUAGAUAGAUAGAUAGAUAGAUAUUCUUUUCUGAUCUGUGCUUUAUGUUCUUUUUAGACCUCAGUUUUUUUAUGUCUUUUCUGAUCUUUUCUGGUCAGAUGGAAGGGUUCCAACCAUCUUUUAUGGAGGAGGUUGACAACAUGACAUGGGAUCAGCUGGGUUUUCAAUCAGAAGAAGAUACAUUCAAUAUGUCUGAGCUUCUCUUGUACGUCAUUCUUAAGCAUAUUUUAUCAGAAGAUGAUUGCUUGCAAUUUAGUUAUUCUUCAGUUUAUCCUAUUAUUCCCAAAAAACAAUAUAAUGUCGUCACUGUCCAUGGAAGCAGGCCGCCACCGGAGGUUCCAGUCAACCCAAGCUCCAUAUCAUGCAAUGAUCAAGGUGGACAGAACAAUGUGAUCAACGAUAGUAUUCAACAAACAACUCCGUUUCCAACUUCAUUUCCUGAAACCAUGGUGAGUACUCCAAUUUGCUACAAUGUCCAUUGAAUUAGCAAGUGUUUGUAUUAUACAAAAAGUUUUAUGUUUAGUGGAUCGAUCUCGAGCAUCUUCAAAUUGUUUACUGUUAAACAAACAGACAACAAUAGGGAGAUUUAAACAUUUUUUAUGAUAUUUUUUUAUCAUUAAGUUUUAUAUAAAAUUGGCCUCAAACUCCAUCAAGGCAUCAUAAUUCCUUUAUUCAUCAACCUCAGCCGGGACAUGGCUAUAUGACACCGAACGCAACCACAUCACAACAUGGUGGCUUCAAUCAACCUGGACCUUCUUUUCCUCCUCCCUGGUAUCCAAUUUUUCAUCUUUAGUAUUUUCUGUAAAAAAAAAAAUUAGUUUUUCAAUCAUUAUUUAACUUCUUCUUCCUCUAGUUGUUGUACUUAUCAGUGAAUUCAUUAACAAAUGUUGCUAAUUUAGGGACCAACAAUGGACUGAUUAUCAGUCACCAAUGAGCAAUCAAGUGCCUGCGAUGCUACCUGGACCUCAACCUCCAAUGAGUCAAUGGUAUUAACCUCGAAUUUACACUUUUUUAAUCAUGAAAACAAUAAACUUUACCAAAAUUGACGAGGAUCUUUCAAGUCUUUUUGAGCUCUCUAUCUCUCUUUUUUUUUUUAUGCACAUAAUGGAACUAGAAAAUCAACCAAGUGAGCAUAACAGUUCUAAGUUUAACUAUUUGAAUAUUCUUCAGGCAUCAGAACUCCUUUAUUCAUCAACCUCAGCCGGGACAUGGCUAUAUGACACCGAACGCAACCACUUCACAGCAUGGUGGCUUCAAUCAAUCUGGACCUUCUUCUCCUGCUCCCCGGUAUCCAAUUUUUCAUUUUUAGUAUUUUCUGUAAUAAAAACAAUUAGUUUUUCUAGCAAGAUAAUCAUAAGUUUUUUUACGAAUGAUUUUGGAUUUAGGAUUCAAACUUUUUCUAAUGAAGGACAAAUAGAUCAAGCUGCUGUAAUUCCUAACAUAGACAAUAUGCAACAAGAGAACUUCGUGCGUAGGUACUGAUUGACUUCUAGCUGUUGUGUUUUAACACCGUAUUAAUACCUUUUUUUUAUAAUUAGAUACACCAUUGAUUUUUAUUGCUUAAGAGAGACUACCAAUUAUCGAAUGGUUUUAUAAUAUGAUCACUUCAUUUUUAUAUAGGUCACAGAUGGAUAACCUCCAAGUCCGAGGAUUGCAAAAUCAAAUUGCUAGGCCAAAUGCCUCAAAUCCUGGCCCUGACACCUCCUUUCAAAGUCAAAUUAGGGGCUUAAAUACUCAACAAGUAAGAAGUCUAACUGAAUUAUCGUCGUCUUUUCCCCCUAUGAUUGUGCAAUAAACAAACUAUCAAUUUUAAUAGCAAAAUAAGGGUAACUUCCAUCAAUUUUUAUUCUUUAUUUUGACCCCGUUUUUUUUUUCUAUAGGUCGAAACGGUUGGAUCAAAGUAUCCAUUUCGGAUUCAUGUUGAAUAUAGGGCUGAUGGUAGCAUGAAGUGUAAGUUUUGUCACCAUACAUGGGCCAAUAAAACUUCCAUUUCAAGGUUCAAAUGGCAUUUAUCAGGAGAGGAAGGGCAUGGUGUUGCCAUUUGUCGUGGGGUGACUAAAGAAGUUCAAGAAGCAGCCAUUCUAGCUAUGUGUGGUGGCCACAAAAGACAAAAAAUCACAGCAAGUGCAGUCAAUGUUAAUGACUGUGGAAUUUCAACUUGUCUACAAGAACAAAACAUUGAGAAUGAAAAUACGGGAGGCGGUAUUGGAAGGGUACAAAGAGAAGUUCAGGUUGUAGAACCCGGAGUAGUGGAAGAGAGGAUUUCUUCACAUGCAAUAGCAGGAAACGACGUAGUAAGCAUGACCGGAAUGGGAGCACAAGAAGAUAGAGUUUCCGAAGGGGCAGUCGAGAGCAGACUGAGGACAGAACCAGUGGAUCGAGCGUUGGAACAAAGCAAUGCAGUACUUGGCAAUAUGGCAGGGGGUGCUGGAAGGAUACAUGUGGGAGUUCAGGGCAUGGAACAAGGUCCAGGAGAAAAUAGAAUUCAGUUGCAUCUACAAGCGGAAAAUGGCAUGGAAAACACUGGUGAAGGAUCUUUUCAGCAUGAUGCAUUUGAGAAUGUACUUAGAACAGAGCAAGUGCAGCUUCUGGAGCCUCAAGGAGAUUCAUCCCAAUUUUGUCUUGACAUUGGAAGAUGUGAUGAUCAACCUUGUGCUCCAUCAGUAAACGAUGAUGUAAAUAGGCAUGAUGCACUGGACAUGGUUAGAGUGAGGACAGAACCAGUGGAGGAUGAUGAUGUGGAGAAUAGUGGAAGAUCAGGAGUGCAGGCUGGCGCAGGAGCUAGAUCUUCUGAAAGUCUGAAAUACAACAAGACUAGAGGAGUUCCAUUACAUACUAGCUCUACAAAGCCAGUGGGUCAAGCAUUUGAAGAGAAUAAGGAGGUGAUAUGGUCUUUGUUAAUGGAUGGUAAAGUCCCAAUCAUUGGCAUUUAUGGGAUGGGGGGAGUUGGUAAAACAACAAUAAUACUACAUAUCUAUAAUGAGCUUCUACGAAGACCAGACAUUUAUGAUCACGUUUGGUGGGUGUCUGUGUCCCAAGAUUUCACCAUUAAUAGAUUGCAGAAUCUUAUUGCUAAACGUCUUGAUCUAAAACUUUCAAGCGAAGAUGAUGAUCGGCACAGAGCUGCCAAAUUGUCAGAAGAACUAAGAAAGAAACAAAAAUGGAUUCUCAUUUUAGAUGAUUUGUGGAACAAUUUUGAGCCUGACAACGUGGGAAUUCCUGUCUCAUUGAAAGGAUGCAAGCUGAUUAUGACAACUCGAUCAAAAAUAAUUUGUAAUCAGAUGGCUUUCCAACACAAAAUCAAAGUGAAGCCACUUUCUGAGGGUGAAGCUUGGAAUUUGUUCAUGGAGAAACUUGGACGUGACAUAGCACUUUCACUAGAAGUGGAAGGAAUUGCGAGAGACAUUGCAAGGGAAUGUGCUGGUUUGCCAUUAGGAAUUAUUACAGUGGCAGGAAGCUUGAUGGGAGUGGAUGAUCUACAUGAGUGGAGAAAUACAUUGAAGAAAUUGAGAGAAUCAGAAUUUAGGGACAUGGAUGAGAAGGUAUUCCAGGUAUUGAGGGUUAGUUAUGAUCGGCUAGGUGAUUUAGCACUACAACAAUGUCUCUUAUACUGUUCAUUAUUUCCUGAAGAUCAUGUGAUUGAAAGGGUGGAGUUGAUAGAUUAUUUGAUUGACGAGGGAAUAAUUAAAGGAAAGAGGAGAAGGGAAGAUGCAUUUGAUGAGGGCCACACGAUGCUUAAUAGACUUGAAAAUGUUUGCCUAUUGGAAAGUGUUAAAAUGGAGUAUGAUGGUAGUAGAGGUGUCAAGAUGCAUGACUUGAUGAGGGACAUGGCCAUCCAUAUACUGCAAGAGAACCUUCAAUACAUGGUUAAAGCAGGUGCACAAUUAAAAGAGUUGCCAGAUGCAGAGGAGUGGACGGAGAAUCUGACGAUAAUUUCACUAAUGCAAAACGAGAUCGUAGAAAUUCCUUCCAGCCAUUCACCAAUGUGUCCAAAUCUAUCCACUCUACUUCUAUGUCAAAAUCUUUGUUUGCGAAUCAUUGCAGAUUCAUUUUUCAAGCAAUUGCAUGGGCUCAAGGUUCUUGAUCUGUCUUCUACAGCUAUUAAACGUUUGCCAGACUCUGUCUCUGAUUUGGUGAGUCUCACUGCAUUAUUGCUCAUUGAGUGUUACAACUUAAGACAUGUUCCAUCAUUAAAGAAUCUCAGGGCACUGAAGAGGUUGGAUCUCUCUCAUACUUCACUUAAAAAGAUGCCGCAAGGAAUGGACUGUCUAUCCAACCUGAGGUAUCUUAGAAUGAAUGGAUGUGGUGAAAAGAAGUUUCCUAAUAGGAUAUUACCAAAACUCUCUCACCUGCAAGUCUUUGUACUAGAAGAGGUUUUUGAGGGAAGUUAUGCUCCGAUAACAGUUGAAGGAAAGGAAGUAGGAUCCUUGAGAAAUUUGGAAACUUUGCAAUGCCAUUUCGAAGGUCUCCCUGACUUCGUGGAGUAUCUCAGAUUUCGGGAUGUGACCCAAUCAGUAAGCACAUGCAAAAUUUUAGUAGGUAUACUGGAUGAAUUACUUUAUUACGGAAUAACUGAGUGUCCUUUUCCAAGUAAAACAGUUGGGUUGGGUUAUAUGAGUAUCAACAAAGAUAGAGAUUUUCAGGUCAAGUUCUUAAAUGACAUUCAAGGACUGGUUUGUCAUAGCAUCGAUGCAAGAAAUUUAUGUGAUGUUUUGUCAUUAGAGAAUGCACCUGAACUGGAGGUUAUCCAAAUUUGGGAUUGCAAUAGCAUGGAGAUCUUGGUUUCAUCUUCUUGGUUCUGCUCUGCUCCACCAUCAUUGCCAUCAUAUAAUGGUAUGUUUUCUGGUCUUAAAGAGUUUUAUUGUCAUGGAUGUAAAAGUAUGAAGAAGUUGUUCCCACUUGUGUUGCUGCCAAACCUCGUAAACCUGGAAAGGAUUGAAGUGAUGGAUUGUGAGAAAAUGGAGGAGAUAAUAGGAACAGCAGAUGAAGAAAGCAGCACCUCCAAUUCCAUCACGGAAUUCAUUCUCCCAAAGUUAAGAACUUUGAAAUUGUCUGAAUUACCAGAACUGAAAAGCAUUUGCAAUGCAAAACUGAUUUGCAAUUCUCUUGAAGAUAUUACUAUAAUGUUUUGUGUUGAGCUGAAGAGG
rnacentral:lncRNA from 1 species